UGGGGAAUUUUGGACAAUGGGCGAAAGCCUGAUCCCAGCAAUGCCGCGUGUGUGAAGAAGGCCUUCGGGUUGUAAAGCACUUUUUGUCCGGAAAGAAAUCCUUGGCUCUAAUACAGUCGGGGGAUGACGGUACCGGAAGAAUAAGCACCGGCUAACUACGUGCCAGCAGCCGCGGUAAUACGUAGGGUGCAAGCGUUAAUCGGAAUUACUGGGCGUAAAGCGUGCGCAGGCGGUUUGCUAAGACCGAUGUGAAAUCCCCGGGCUCAACCUGGGAACUGCAUUGGUGACUGGCAGGCUAGAGUAUGGCAGAGGGGGGUAGAAUUCCACGUGUAGCAGUGAAAUGCGUAGAGAUGUGGAGGAAUACCGAUGGCGAAGGCAGCCCCUGGCAAGUACUGACGCUCAUGCACGAAAAGCGUGGGGGAGCAAAAC
rnacentral:rRNA from 1 species